GACGAACGCUGGCGGCGUGCCUAACACAUGCAAGUCGAGCGGGGUUGAAGCGAGGGGUAACUCGAGUUUCUACCUAGCGGCGGACGGGUGAGUAACGCGUGGGCAACCUGCCUCAAGGACUGGGAUAACAGCUCGAAAGGGCUGCUAAUACCGGAUAUGCCUGUGGCCUCGCAUGGGGCUAUGAGCAAAGGGGAAACCCGCCUUGAGAUGGGCCCGCGUCCCAUCAGCUAGUUGGUGAGGUGAAGGCUCACCAAGGCGACGACGGGUAGCCGGCCUGAGAGGGUGACCGGCCACACUGGGACUGAGACACGGCCCAGACUCCUACGGGGGGCAGCAGUGGGGAAUCUUGCACAAUGGGCGAAAGCCUGAUGCAGCGACGCCGCGUGAGCGAAGAAGGCCUUCGGGUUGUAAAGCCUCUGUCUGGAGGGACGAAGGAAGUGACGGUACCUCCGGUAGGAAGCCACGGCUAACUACGUG
rnacentral:rRNA from 1 species